rnacentral:rRNA from 1 species
GACAGAGGAUGCAAGCGUUAUCCGGAAUGAUUGGGCGUAAAGCGUCUGUAGGUGGCUUUUCAAGUCCGCCGUCAAAUCCCAGGGCUCAACCCUGGACAGGCGGUGGAAACUACCAAGCUGGAGUACGGUAGGGGCAGAGGGAAUUUCCGGUGGAGCGGUGAAAUGCGCAGAUAUCGGGAGGAACACCAAUGGCGAAGGCAGCUCGCUGGGACGGUACUGACGCUGAGACGCGAAAGCGUGGGGAGCAAACAGG